rnacentral:rRNA from 1 species
ACUGCUCAGUAACACGUGGACAACCUACCCUAUGGAGGGGGAUAACCCCGGGAAACUGGGGAUAAUACCCCAUAGGCUAUGGAUGCUGGAAUGCUCUGUAGUCGAAAGGUCCGCCGCCAUAGGAUGGGUCUGCGGCCGAUUAGGUUGUUGUUGGGGUAACGGCCCAACAAGCCUGUAAUCGGUACGGGUUGUGGGAGCAAGAGCCCGGAGAUGGAUUCUGAGACACGAAUCCAGGCCCUACGGGGCGCAGCAGGCGCGAAAACUUUACAAUGCGGGAAACCGUGAUAGGGGAACUCUGAGUGCCCGUUAAAUCGGGCUGUCCAUCAGUUUAAAUAACUGGUGAAGAAAGGGCCGGGCAAGACCGGUGCCAGCCGCCGCGGUAAUACCGGCGGCUCGAGUGGUGGCCACUAUUACUGGGCUUAAAGCGUUCGUAGCUGGCUUGUUAAGUCUCUGGGGAAAUCUUCCGGCUCAACCGGAAGGCGUCUCAGGGAUACUGGCAGGCUAGGGACCGGGAGAGGUGAGAGGUACUCCAGGGGUAGGAGUGAAAUCCUGUAAUCCUUGGGGGACCACCUGUGGCGAAGGCGUCUCACCAGAACGGCUCCGACAGUGAGGGACGAAAGCUGGGGGAGCAAACCGGAUUAGAUACCCGGGUAGUCCCAGCUGUAAACGAUGCACGUUAGGUGUAUCGGUGACCACGAGUCACCGAGGUGCCGAAGAGAAAUCGUGAAACGUGCCGCCUGGGAAGUACGGUCGCAAGGCUGAAACUUAAAGGAAUUGGCGGGGGAG